UACGUAGGGGGCUAGCGUUGUCCGGAAUCAUUGGGCGUAAAGAGCGUGUAGGCGGCUUGGUAAGUCCGCUGUGAAAGUCCAGGGCUCAACCCUGGAAUGCCAGUGGAUACUGUCAAGCUAGAGUCCGGAAGAGGCGAGUGGAAUUCCUGGUGUAGCGGUGAAAUGCGCAGAUAUCAGGAGGAACACCGAUGGCGAAGGCAGAUCUCUGGGCCGUAACUGACGCUGAGGAGCGAAAGCAUGGGGAGCGAACAGG
rnacentral:rRNA from 1 species